UGGUCUCUUAGUGGGCACACAUCAGGACAUUUUCUAAAAUGCAAUUCAUUUUGCUGCCCAUUAUUCUCUUAUAAGGGCACUAAUCACAUCAUGGAGGCCCCACUCUCAUGGCCCUUCUAAACCUAAUUAUCUCUCUAAUGGCCCAUCUCCAACGUAUGAAUUUUGGAGGAACACAGUUCCAUCUACAGCAGACACCAUUACAAGUGAGAUGGUCCCUCAUUUGAAUGGCGGUUUUUCUGUCAAUUGUGGUUGGACAUAGUGUAUGCAAUGGAGUGACUCAUGUCUGUGUUCAUCUACUGAGGGUCAUUUUUGAUAUGCCGCAAAACACAUAACCUUGGCCCUUUUCUAGUCAAUACUUUUCAAGUGAUUUAAAUUAAGACCUUUUAUUCUAACCUCCUUUUUUUUUUUUUUUAAAGAUUUUUUUUUUUUCUCUUGUUGCUCAGGCUGGAGUGCAGUGGCACGACCUUGGCUUACCACAACCUCAGUCUCCUGGAUUCAAGCGAUUCUCCUGCCUCCGCUUCCGGAGUAGCUGGGAUUACAGGCAUGUGCCACCAUGCCCAGCUUUUAACACAGGAGCAAUGAAUGAGAGUUCCUGUGGCUCCAUAUCCUUGCCAGCAUUUGGUGUUAUCAGUUGUCUGGAUUUUGGCCAUUCUAAUAGGUAUGUAGAGGCAUUUAAUUGUCGUUUUAAUUUGUGUUUUUCUAAUGAUAUAUGAUG
ensembl:lncRNA